AAAACUUCAAAGUACACCAAAAUAGAACCUCCUUAAAGCAUAAAUCUCACGGGGCCUAUAAAACAAUAACACAAGGAAAAAAUACCAAGAUAUUCAGGCAGCAGCGAGAACGAUGAAUAGAAUAGUAGCUAACAUCUCAAUACUAACGUUGAAUGUAAAUGGCCUAAAUGCUCCACAAAGAAUACAGAGUGGCAGAAUGGGUAAGAAUUCACCAACCAAGUAUCUGCUGUCUUCAAGAGACUCACCUAACACAUAAGGACUCACAUAAACAUAAGGUAAAGGAGUGAAAAAAGAUAUUCCAUGCAAAUGGACAUGAAAAGCAAACAGGAGUCGCUAUCCGGAGUCGCUAUCCUUAUAUCAGACGAAACAGACUUUAAAGCAGUAACAGUUAACAAAGACAAGGAGGGACAUUAUGUAAUGAUAAAAGGACUGGUCCAACAGGAAAAUAUCAUAAUCCUAAAUAUAUUUGCAUUUAACACUGGAGCUCCCAAAUUUACAAAACAAUUGCUACUAGAAAACAGCAGCACAAUAAUAGUGGAGGACUUCAAUACUCCACUGACAGCACUAGACAAGUCAUCAAGAUGGAAAGUUAACAAAGAAACAAUGGGCUUGAACUAUACAACAAAAGUGACCAAAUGAGAAUCAAAUCAAGAACUCAACUGCUUUUACAAUAGCUGCAAAAACAAACAAACAAAACUAGGAAUAGACCUAAGAGCUGAAAGACCUCUACAAGGAAAACUACAAAAUACUGCUGAAAGAAACCAUAGGUGACACAAACAAACAGAAACAUAUCCCAUGCUUCUCAUUAUUUCUUGCCCCCUGCUCCCAGCAACCACUGAUAUUUCUGUAUAUGAAUUUGCCUAUUCUGUACAUUUCAUAAAAUGGGAUCUCAAAAUGUAGCCUUUUGUGUCUGGCUUCUCUCAUUGAGCAUGAUUAUGUUAGUCUGUUCUUGUGUUGCUAUAAAGAAAUACCUGAGGCUGGGAAAUUUAUAAAGAAAAGUUUCAUUGGCUUGCAGUUCUGCAGACUUUAUACAAAGCAUGGUGCCGCAUCGGUUUCUGGUGAGGCCUCAGGAAGCUUAGGGAAAGGAGGCGAUAUCACAUGGUGAUAGAGGGAAAGAGAGAGUUGUGGGGAGAUGCCAUGCUUUUUUUUUUUUUUUAAAUUGAGAUGGAGUCUUGCUCUGUUGCCCAGGCUGGAGUGCAAUGGCGCAUUCUUGGCUCACUGCAACUUCUGCCCCCCCAGGUUCAAAUGAGUCUCCUGCCUCUGCCUCCCUAGUAGCUGGGAUUACAGACACCUGCCACCACGCCCAGCUUUUUUUUUUGAGAUGGACUCUCGCUCUUGUUGUCCAGGCUAGAGUGCAAUGGCUUGAUCUCAGCUCACUGCAACCUCUGCCUCUUGGGUUCAAGCGAUUCUCCUGCUUCAGCCUCCUGAGUAGCUGGGACUAUAGGCAUGUGCCACCACACCCGGCUAAUUUUGUAUUUUUAGUAGAGAUAGGGUUUCACCAUGUUGGUCAGGCUGGUCUUGAACUCCCGACCUCAGGUGAUCCACCCGCCUUGGCCUCCCAAAGUGCUGAGAUUACAGGUGUGAACCACCGCGCCUGACCCUAAUUUUUGUAUUUUUAGCAGAGAUGGGAUUUCACCAUGUUGGUCAGGCUGGUCUUGAAUUCCUGACCUCAGGUGAUCCACCUCGGCAUCCCAAAGUGCUGGGAUUACAGGCGUGAGCCACUGCACCCAGCCAGUGCCAUGUUCUUUUAAACAACCAGAUCUUUCGUGGACUACCAAAGCGAGAUCUCAUCUCGCUCUUCACCAAGUGGAUGGCGCUAAGCCAUUCAUAAGGGAUCCACCCGCAAAAUCCAGAUACCUCCCACGAAGUCCCAUCUGCAACACUGGGGAUUACAGUACAUGAGAUUUGUAGGGGACAAAUAUCCAAACCAUAUCACAUGGUCAUUUCAAGAUUCAUGUUGUGCAAGUAAUUGGGUAGUUAGCUGCUCUCUAUUAGGUGUUGAAGAUGGCCUUCAACCUGACACUUUGGCAAAGAUCUGAAUAAUAAGUAACAAUUCAGGUGAAAAUCAGGGUCAUGGAAAGAACAUUUAAGGGAAAUAAUACAGCUAGUGCAAAAUCCCUAAAGCCGGAAAGAUGAGGGAAACAAAAGGCUGAUAUUUGUAAGCAUGGUGGAUGCGGAUUGGGAAUGGUAUGAGAUGAGCUUGGAGAGGUGGGCAUGGGCCAGCCCAUGUAGUUCUUUGUAAGCCAGGGAAAGUAGUCUAGAUUUUAUUCUGCUUUUUCGAGAAGCCAUUGGAGGGUUUUAUGCAAAGGAGUGGCAUAAUACAACAUGUUUAUAAAAGACCACCCUUCUACUUUCUGUCUCUCUGAAUUUGGCUGCUGUAUGUACCUCAUACAAGUAGAAUCAUACACUGUUUUUCUUUUUGUAACUGGCUUAUUUCAGUUAGCAGGUCCUCAAGGUUUAUCCAUGUUGUAGCAUAUAUCACAAUUUCCUUUCUUUAUAAGGCGAAUAAUACUCUUUUGUAAGGCUGAGCGUGGUGGUUCAUGCCUAUAUUCCCAGCACCUUGGAGGGCUGAGGUGGUGGUUCACUUGAAGUCAGGAGUUUGAAACCAGCCUGGCCAACAUGGUGAAACCUUGUCUCUGCUAAAAAAAAAAAAAUACAAAAGUUAGUCCAGUGUGGUGGCAGGUACCUGUAGUCCCAGCUACUUAGGAGGCUGAGGCAGGAGGAUCACUUGAACCUGGGAGGCGGAGGUUGUAGUGACCCAAGAUUGCACCACUGCACUCCAGCCUGGGUGAUUGCGCAAGACUCUGUCUCAAGGAAAAAAAAUGUCAUUGUAAUAUACAUCACAUUUUGUUUAUUCAUCAUUGAUAAAUACUUGGGGUUGCUUCCACCUUUUGGCUAUUGUGAAUAAUGUUGCUAUGAACACGGGUGGACAAGUAUCUCUUCAACCCUGCUUUCAGUUCUUUUUGGUAUAUACCCAGAAGUGGAAUUGCUAGAUCAUAUGGUAAUUCAGUUUUUUAUUUUGUGAGGAACUGCCAUACUGUUUUUCAUAGUGGCUGUACCAUUUUAUAUUCCCACCAACAGUGCAGAGAGAUUCCAGUUUCUCCAAAUCCUCGCCAACACUUGUUAUUUUCUUUUUAAUUUUUUUAUAGUAACUAUCCUAAUGAGUGUGAGAUGGUGGUUUUCAUUUACACUUCCUUUUGCCAUUUUUUAAUCAGGUUUUUUUUUUUUUUUUUGCUGUUCAGUUUUAGGAGUUAUAUAUUCUGGAUAUUAACCCCUUACUAGACAUGAUUUACAUGUAUUUUCACUUAUUACAUAAGUUACAUUUUUUACUGUAAUAAAAUACACAUAACAUAAAAUGUACCAUCUUAACCAUUUAAAUGUACAGUUCAGUAGCAUUAAGUACAUACAGUACAUUCACCUUUUUGUGCAGCCACCACCACUCUCCAUCUCCAGAACUUUUUCAUCUUCCUAAACUGAAAUUCUACCCAUUAAACAAUAACUCCUCAUUGCCUCCUCCAGCCCCUGGGAAACAACAUUCUACUCCUAGACUACUUUCAGACUCCAUUUCUUCCUUCACUUAAUAAAAGAGAGGGUCCACUGCUGACUAAUAGGAUUGUUUUUAUAUGUGGAGGCCUUCUUGGAAACGUGAUUGAUUUAUUUUAGAGAAUAGUAAUAGAAAAUAGGGUUGUUGAAAGAAAAGAGAUAGAGACAAAAACUGGUUGGGUGUUUUCAUACUGGAUGUCUUAUCCGCAGGCCUCAGCAUUCCUGCCUCGGUUCUGCCUGAUUCUUUUACAUCAAGAAGUUGAUCUUGCUAGCCAUUUCCAUGUUGUAGAUCUGCCAGCAGGUUUCAUAGAUUUCCCUUUGUUCCUGGUGGCAUGGCUUCUCACAGUACAAAAAUUAGCCAGGCAUGGUGGUGGACGCCUGUAAUCCCAGCUGCACGGGAGGCUGAGGCAGGAGAAUCGCUUGAACCCAGGAGGCAGAGGUUGCAGUGAGCCGAGAUCAUGCCAUUGCACUCCAGCCUGGGCGACAGAGCAAGACUCCAUUUCAAAAAUAAAAAUAAAUAAAUAAUUUGAGGAACAAAUCUAUUGUGAUAUGUUCUUUUGUAGUGUUUCAUUGCCUUUAGGUUUAGGAAAUCUGUCUCCAUUCAGAUAUUUACCCGUAUUUUCUAAAAGUUUUAAUAAUUUUACAUUAUCCUUUCUUAUCUACCUGGAAUUUAUUUAGUAUAUGAUUAUGUGACCCACUGUGUUUUCAGUAGAUUCUCACUUUGCUUUGUUGUAAAAUAUCUGAUUAGAGAUUCCAUGUAAUGAUAGGUAUUUUGAGAUUGUUGUUAUUGGAGAUUAUUUUGUUGGUCUUUAAAAUGUCAUUAUCUCCUAAGUUUAUUUUGUUUUAUUUACAAGACACUAUUGCAACAGGAACAAGCAAGCCAGGGGAAGAUAAAUAAGCUUCCUAUGGAAGCUUAAAUUUUAUAUUUACUCUACAAAGAGUUGUACUGCCUUAAGAGAUUUACUUAAUAUUAUGAUUUGUUUUGUAGUACAAAUUAGAAAUCUGCCCACAUAUUUCCUUCUUUUCCUUAAAGUCUGGAGGGCCUGUAGAAUGUGGCACGGGCAGGAGGAUACAGGGUUUGUGGAGAUGCACCGUGUAUCACAUAUGUCUGUGCAAAACCAUUCGUGUUAGGAUCCUAAAACUAUCAUCAGUGGAAACACUGGCAGUUUUAGUGAGCUGGUCACAUUUCAUGAAUGCAAGAUGUUAGACUUCUAUAGCAGGGUGUGUGUCAUCUAGAGCAAGUUAUUGACUGUACAGGUAUUUGAGCUCCACCAGAAUUCCCUAGAGGAAAGAAAGUGUGUUCCUCAUUGAACAUAAUGGAAAUAGUAAGACGUUCAGGCAGUCUGGUCUGCAGCAUUCGAAUGUUUCUUGCAUCUCAAACUUCUUAAGACUGUGAUUCCCAUGUCUGUUUUCAGCGACUUCUCUUCGUGGUCUUUCCCAAAAGUAAAGUAGCUAAUUGGCUGUGCUUCUGUUGCCCGCCCGCCUGCCUUCUUUCUUUUUUUCUUUCUUUCUUUCUUUCUUUUUCUUUCUUUCUUUCUUUUUCUUUCUCUCUCUUUCUUUUCUUUCUUUCUUUCCUUCUUUCCUUCCUUCCUUCCUUCCUUCUUUCCUUCCAUCCUUCCUUCCCUCCUUCCCUCCCUCCCUUUCUCUCUCUCUUUCUUUCUUGGAGACAGUCUCACUCUGUCACCCAGGCUAUAGUGCAGUGGUGUGAUCUUGGCUCACUACAACCUCUGCUUCUCAGGUUCAAGUGAUUCCCCUGCUUCAGCCUCCCAAGUAGCUGGGAUUACCAGCAUUCACCACCACACUCGGCUAAUUUUUGUAUUUUUAGUAGAGAGAGGGUUUUACCAUGUUGGCCAGGCUGGCCUCGAACUCCUGACUUCAAGUGAUCCGCUCCCUUCUGCCUCCCAAAGUGCUGGUAUUACAGAGGUGAACCACCACACCCGGCCAUGUGCAUAACAUCAUUUAUUUUCUUGAAGCACUUAUGUAAGUAUAACCCAUUUAAGUCCUUAUUUCACUGGCUUUUGGGAUCACAUUUUCCAUUAAUGCCCAAUUCUUAAUGAUUUGAGCGCUUGCUUUUCUUAAAUUCAGUUGAACAGUUUGUCUGGCUUUCCUCUCCAGGUAUUUCUGGGACUUCCUGGGUAAACUGCUUGUCCUUCCAGCCAGUCCUUUGACCCAUGGCCCAUUGGUCACCAGCUUCCCUAAGGUGUUCUCACUGGUGUCACUUUGGCUCAAGUUUAGGCCCAGCUCCUAGAUUAUAGUUUGGGCCUAGUUCCUAGGCUAUUAAUAUUUAAUAAAGGAUUUAACAGAAGGGCAUCAGAACAAAGAGAACUUAAAGCUGCAUAUGAAAUAUGGCUUCACUAAAAGUAUACUGGUCCAAGUUCUGCUCAGGGCUUCUCUCUUCCUGAUGCUUGGCGUACUGCUGUCCAUAGGGCUAGCCUAUCUUUCCUCAGGGAGUACCCUGAAAACUACUGAUUCCCCUCCAGGGUCAACUCCAAACUGUGAUCAGUUAGCUUUGCUUUGAAUAAAAAUUGCCAGCCUUGGCAACAUGGUGAAACCUAGUCUCUACAAAAAAAAAAAAAAAAAAUUAAGUCUGUUGUGGUGGUGUAUGCCUGUAGUCCCAGCUACUCAGCACUGAGGCGGGAGGAUCACUUGAGCCCCCAGGAAUUCAAGGGGGCAGUGAGCUGUGAUCAUGACACUGCACCUCAACCUGGGUGACAGGUUUCAAAAAAUUAAAAAAAUUGAUGCUGCCUUUUAGGAGGCAGUGUAGCAAUAUAUCUUGAAAUUUUAAGAAAAUUCACAUACUGUUUGAACCAGCAAUUCUACUUCUAGAAAUGUACUUUUAUGGAUAUAUUUUCAAAUGCUUGCCAAACUAUAUGUAUGUACAAGAAUAUUAAUAAUAGCUUUGUAAUAGCAAAACACUGAGAACAACCUAAAUGUAAUACAGGAUUUAAAAAAAAUACAGAGAUGGUUCCUCCCUAACAAAGAAAGAAUUGGCUUUGUUGAAAAGAAUAACCUAGAUCUGUAUGUGGCUAACUUUUUUUUGUGCUCUGGGUCUCCAUUGGAUUUGGUAAAAACUGUAGUGCCAGAAUAUGAUUGCCCCUGAGAUGAAGCUGCUGGAGCAUACAGUUGAGCUCAAGGUGCUGUCUGUUCUCCGGAACAGAACAAGCAAGAGUGUGGCUUCAAAGAGUAUAGGUUACAGCAGGCCAUCUAGUGGAGGCCUGUUGCCUCAGGGUCAGCUCCUGCCUGGUUACCCUGUUCUAGAGGUUGAAUAUGCUGUGAUGUGCAGUGUAUGCUUUAUUUGUGCCCUUGGGUCUCCACUUCUGAUUGGUAUAGGUCUCUGUUUUUCUGCUUCUGACUUGGCUGUCCUAGGCACUUAGGUUUCUUCAUUUGAACUCCUUCCUGGCCGAUGCCUUUUCACUGUCCACCUGCUUUAGCCCCUUCACACCUUCACUACCAUGAGCUUGCCCUCUGUCAUUCCAGCUACCAUGGUUCAGUCCAAGUCAUCUCUCACCUGCACUGUGGAAACAGCCACCUGACUAACUCUUCACCUCAAAGCUGGAUAAGUGGCUAUAUAAUAUGGGAGGCUUUCAGUGGACUUCGAUUUGGGUGAGCCUUUGCUGCCCUCUUCUGGUCUCUAGCUGCUAUAGCCGGCAGCUGCUACUAAUUAACUUUUUCUACUUUGAUUUGUGUUAACAUUUCUGGGUGAAACUGCUUAUGCUGAUUGUUUUGCAGUAGUAGAUCAAGUUGUAGCAUGCUUGUAGAUACUGCGUAGGCUAAAUGCUGUUCAGCCAAUAUGCCUUUUCCCUCAGUGCAGCUUUAUCUUUUGUUUUUUGGGUUUUUUUUGUAUUUUUGGUGGAGAUGGGGUUUCAUCAUGCUGUCCAGGCUAAUCUCAAACUCCUGAGCUCAAAUGAUCUGCCCGCCUUGGCCUCUCAAAGUGCUGGGAUUACAGGCGUGAGCCACCGCGCCCGGCCCAGUGCAGCUUUAUGUUAUUCAGUCCUUUUAGCUGGUUUUGGAGGAAGAAAGGAAACUUAGGGAUGACAGCAAAGCUAGCUUCAGGGAAGAUUUUGAAAUUUAUUUUUUCUGCAUCCCUUUUCCUCUCUUUUCACUGCCCGCUUUCUGUUGUUCCUGUGCUUCAUUUCUCCUUGGGAAUUUACCAAGCGAGAAACGUAGAAUCAGCCACUGCUGUGAAAUAUUUACAUAUCAUUAACAGAACUAUUUAUUAAGCACAUGGUAUGUGCUAACCCCUUGCCAGAUUUGGUAAGACUUAGUCCUUGGCUUCAAGAAGUUUACUAUUUAUUGGGCAGAAGUGUCAAGUAAAUACAAAGUUGGAAGGCAGAAUGAUUAAUGCUAUUUUAGAACACACAGGAGAGGCCACUAACUCGGCAAUAGAGAUUGAGGUUGUUGGAGUGAGAUUAUAGUAGGGAUACUUGGAUGUGGAUGUGAUGGCAGAACAGUACUGACAGUGUUAACCAAUGAGGAACUGCCUUCUCAUUAGUAGAGGUCCAGAACUUCCAGCAGGUAAGCCAUUCUUUACCCCAGCACCUCCUUUGACAUUUCCUUCCAUGUGAAUGGUUCUUCAGCAUUUGGACAAGUGGUUCUUUACCUGUAGCUGUUGAAUCAUGCCUUUCAAUGCCUUAAAAUAGGAGAUGGUCCUCUUUCCAUUUUUGUGCAUUUUCCGUCAUCCAUUCUUCCCCCCAACAUCGGUGUCAGUGAUAUACAAACAAAGCAGAACUGAGACUUGAGGAGCUUACAGUUUAACAGGAGGAAACAGAUAUUUGAUAAACGCUGUAAGGUGUUAUGAUACAAGUGUGUAGAGGGAUAAGGAGGACAGCCUGUAACCUCAUAGUCAACUUUUUUGUAAAAAGAUCCUUCAGAUAACCAUUAUUUUAGAUAUUCCUUGAUGUCUAGAAAUGCAAAACUGGUCACAAAAAUAAACUGUAUAUUUACCAUUUGACAGACUAUUAACUAGCACUUAUUUAAAUUUGUUUAUGAUUAUUGUUUAGUGUGUUUUAAAAUGUAUUUGUAGCAACGGUACCCUUCAAAUUCACAAGAUUGGGAAAUGGUUUUCUAGAAGCAGAUAGUGAAUUUCAGAAUGAGAUCUUUCUUAUAUAUAUAUCCUAAGAUUACAGUUGUUUUGCCUUAGUUAGAAAUAAAGAAAAAACAGGACAUCUAAGGAAAUUUAACUCCAAGUCCAGUUAGCCAACCAGCAAAUUUUCCCAAACAUUUAAAGAAGGCGUUAACACCAGUCUUAAAGAAACACUUCUAGAGAAUAGAAAGCAAGCCAGUACUCCCUGAUUCAUUUUCUGAAGCUAGCAUAAGUCUUUGUAACAAAACUUGAUAGGGACAUUAUAAACAUGGAAAAUUACAGGUAAACUCACUCAACACAGAAGCAAAAAUUCUAAACAAACCAAAUCAACCAUUUAGAGCAAUACAGUAAGCCUAAAAUGGGCUGAUUAGAAAUGUGAAUUCCUAACACCCCCAAACCAAUCAAAUUCACAUAUUAACAGAAAAGUCAUAUGAUUAACUUGUAGAUACAGAAGUUUUUCAUAAAAUCAAACAUCCAUUUAUGAAUUUUUUUUUUUAAGAGACAGAGUCUCUCUCUGUUGCCCAGGCUGCAGUGCAAAGGCACGAUUUCAGCUCACUGCAACCUCCGCCUCCUGGGUUCAAGUGAUUCUCCUGCCUCAGCAUCCCAAGUAGCUAGGAGUACAGCCACGUGCCACCAUGCCUGGCUAAUUUUUUGUAGUUUUUAGUAGAGAUGGCGUUUCACCAUGUUGGCCAGGCUGGUCUCCUGACCUCAGGUGAUCUGCCUACCUCGACCUCCUAAAGUGCUGGGAUUGCAGGUGUGAGCCACUGCACCUGGCCCAUGUAUAAAUUUUUAAUAUAUUAGAAAUGGCAGAGAACUCCUUUAAUUUUCUAAAGGGGUCUUAAAAAAAAACAAAACUACAAACACCGUACUUAAAUGUCGACAGUUUUUCAGUUGAGGUUUGGAAUAAAACAAAGCUGUCUGGUUAGCACUGUACUAGAGGUCGUUGCCAGUGCACUAAGACAAGAAAAUGAGUAUAUGUUGGAAAGAAAGAAAUGGAACAGCCAGUAUUUUCUGCCAAGUAGACAAGGAUAUAAACAGAAUUGUUUGUAUAGAAAACUCAAAAGAACUGAGAUAAACUAUUAGAAUUAAUAAUUGAAUUAUAUUAACAAACCUAGAAUAAACCUAAGAACUAAAAUAUGCAAGACCUUGAUAGAAAACUAUAAAGCAUUAUUGAAAGAAUUAAAGACUCAAGUAAAUAGCUUAUAGAUUGCUAUCUUUACAAUAUUUAAUCUUCCUAUAUUCCUUAACUCAUUUCUAGAUCUAAUGCAGCCCAAGAAAAUCCCAGCAAUUUCACCUUUUUCCUUGUCUUUUUUUCUUUCCUUCUUUUGAAAUAAUUUGAUUCUAAAAUUCCUAUGGAAAUUUAAAAGGCCAGAGAUAAUGUAGACACUCUGAAGGAUAACCUGCUGUAACAGAUGAAAGGAAGUCUUAUAAAGCUGCAGUAAUGACGAUGGUGUGGAUCAGCACAGGGAUAAAGAGAACAGUGCAACAGACUACUGAACCCAGAAACAAACUCAUGCAUAUGUGGCCACAGUUUUUUAAACAAAGGAGCAGUUGGCAAGUCUUUUUCAGUAUAUGAUGCUGUGUCAAGUAGAUGUCCGUAUGGGGAAGAGGGCACUUGAUUCCCUCCUCACCAACACCAAAAAUCAAUUGCAGGUGAUGUGUAGAUCCAAAUGGAAAAGAGAAAAUAAUAAAAAUUCUAAGGAAAUAAUAUAGGUGAAUGUCUUUAUGACCCAUGUGAAGGGAAAUAUUUCUUAAACAGGAUAAUGACAGCAACUAGAAACACAAACCUGAAACCAUUAACUAUAAAGAUUUAAAGAUGGGAGAAAUUAAUGGUGUGUUUUUGUGUUCUGUUAGGAAUAAUCCAAUAAAGAGAAAAACAUGAUGGUAUAAAAGAGAAUUUGUAGAGUCACAUUCUUUAAAAGGUGAAAAGUGGGUGAGAUUUAGCAUUGAAGAAUAGGCUGAAUUUGUUCACUAGGUGAUCAGUUCUAAAAUCCUAUGCAGUUUUUGUAUAGUGGCUGCUGUUAUUCCCAUGUAUUAGAAUGGCAGAACACCAGAGUAAACAAUCUCAUUGAAUAACUACCAGAACCAUCUGAAGGAACUUCAGCAUUUUCCUGUUCAGUAAGCAAUGUUUUGAUAUAUUUUUAUUUUAAAAUUGAAGGGACUCAAAUGACUUGGGUAGCUCUGGAAUAACAGUAGUCAUUCACAAUUUUCACUUGUCAAGAAAACCAGUUUUUUAAAGGGAGCCUCAGAGUCAGAAUUCUCAAAAAGCUCUUGCCAAAAGCACCUUUUCUUACAAAUGCUGUACUGUCCCGUAGCCCUGUGUGGCUUUAAAAACUGAUCCUGGACAAUUCAUUAAUUGGACUAGCCACAUUUCAAGUGCUCAGUAGCUACAUGUCACUAGCUAGUGGCAGCCUUUUCGAUGGGGCAGAUGUAGAAUAUUUUUGUCAUUGCAGAAAGUUCUAUUAGUUCUGCAGUGGGACUUUCCACCUUUGUGGACAGACACCAAAUAAAAUUUUAGCUUGACUGUAGUUAAGUGACUGCUCUGGUAUAACUUUAGCCCCUGCCACAUUAGGUGUCAAAGGUGGCCCACCACUUUAAAAGCCUGCCUGCUCUUUGGGUGUUUACUUGCAUGGCUUAAGAUUUUCUGGUUAAGAAAUAAAUUAGAGGCUGUGCAUGGUAGUUCACACCUGUAAUCCCAGCAUUCUGGGAGGCCAAUAUGGGAGGACUGCUUGAGCCCAGGAGUUAGAGACCAGCCUGGGCAACAUAGUGAGACCUGCCUCUACAGAAAAUUAAAAAUUUAGCCUGGAUUGCCUGAGCCCAGGAGUUUGAGACUGCAGUGAGAUGUGAUCCAGCCAUUGCACUCCAGCCUGGGCGACAGAGCACCGUGUCUCAAAAUACAAAAAAAAUAAAAAAAGAAGAAGAAAUUUAAAACUAUCCAACCUGGGGUUGUGACAGCAUUGUUGAAGAUCGUAACCAUUUGAGAGGUUUCAGGAAGCUUGCCUCACAAAAGGUUGGCUGAAGCUCAGAGGGAUUUGCUGAAGCUUAGAGGUGAGGAAUGCUGGAGGACUGUAAUAGAUUUUUGCUGCUGAGUUCAGCACUUGAGGAAUCUGCCUCUCUUACAGUUAGAUAGCUCCCAAAUGUAACUUCCCUUUCCUUUCCUGAUGUUCUUCUCCCCUUUCCCCUCUCUUCACAUAGUCCUAUCCAAGCUUGGAGGAAAAGCUACUUCAGGGUGGUCUGCGUUCUGUAGGGAGGAUUUUUUUUUUUUUUUUUAAGCUUAGAUUCUGGUGGAAGAUCUGUAAUUGGAAGGCGAAUCCACAGUAGAUUGCGAUUUGUGAGGGAUACAGAGGAUAGAAAAUAGGAUACAUUGGAUAAACUUAAAGGUAUGGUUGGCACUUUACCUUGAAGUGAAACAAACAAACAAAAAAAACAAGUUUAGAUGUGAUCAUCUCCAAACUGGCUGCUUUGGGAGAGAGCCAGCCAGCUGGUUAACUGGGUUACAUAAUUCGAGUAUGGGUUUGGGGUGGAUAUGUUCAUAGGGACCUAAUACCUCUUUCCAGCUUCUCUUUGUUUGUCCUGGAAUUCCAAAACCUAUGAUGUUAUUGCUGGAACUUUGAUUCAGCAGUUGCUAAACACCUUCUCUUGUGUUUCUGGCACUAGACUUGGGCCUUGGGUUUAGUUUACACAGUCCCAACAGAGUCUGGGUGCUCAGUCUGAUAUGGGAGACAAGUGUACAUAAAUAAUUACCAUAUAGUGUUGUUCAUAAAGAGAAUGUCCAAGGUCCAGAAGGUCCUGAAACAACAUUUACUCUGAUUUCCCCCAUUUUCUACUGGUUGCAGCUGAGGCCCAGAGAGGGAAAGAGAGACUGGUUUAACGACAUCUGAGCAACUGUCACACUUAAGGAAGCCUCGGACAAGUUGGGUUCGAACCUGUUGGCUUGCUGCAUUGAGAGACACCUUUGUGUACUGCAAUAAAAAUUCUUACUUUUCGGGCCA